rnacentral:rRNA from 1 species
AUUGAACGCUGGCGGCAGGCCUAACACAUGCAAGUCGAGCGGAUGAGGGGUGCUUGCACCCCGAUUCAGCGGCGGACGGGUGAGUAAUGCCUAGGAAUCUGCCCGAUAGUGGGGGACAACGUUUCGAAAGGAACGCUAAUACCGCAUACGUCCUACGGGAGAAAGUGGGGGCCCUUCGGACCUCACGCUAUCGGAUGAGCCUAGGUCGGAUUAGCUAGUUGGUGGGGUAAAGGCUCACCAAGGCGACGAUCCGUAACUGGUCUGAGAGGAUGAUCAGUCAGACUGGAACUGAGAAACGGUCCAGACUCCUACGGGAGGCAGCAGUGGGGAAUAUUGGACAAUGGGCGAAAGCCUGAUCCGGCCAUGCCGCGUGUGUGAAGAAGGUCUUCGGAUUGUAAAGCACUUUAAGUCGGGAGGAAGGGCUGUAGGUUAAUACCCUGCGGUUUUGACGUUACCGACAGAAUAAGCACCGGCUAACUUCGUGCCAGCCGCCGCCGUAACAC